UACAGAGGUCCCAAGCGUUGUUCGGAUUCAUUGGGCGUAAAGGGUGCGUAGGUGGCGGGGUAAGUCGGAUGUGAAAUCUCGGGGCUCAACCUCGAAACUGCAUUCGAUACUGCCUUGCUAGAGUACUGGAGAGGAGAUCGGAAUUUACGGUGUAGCAGUGAAAUGCGUAGAUAUCGUAAGGAAGACCAGUGGCGAAGGCGCUCUACUGGGCCAUUACUGACGCUGAUGGACGAAAGCUAGGGGAGCGAAAGGG
rnacentral:rRNA from 1 species